rnacentral:rRNA from 1 species
AGUGAACGCUGGCGGCGUGCCUAAUACAUGCAAGUCGAACGAAGCGGCGCACGGGCGAGUAAUAUAUAGUUAAUCUGCUCUCCACAGAGGAACAACAGUUGGAAACGACUGCUAAUACCUCAUAGUGUAGGCGGAGACUAUAACGUAUCAGCUAGUUGGUAAGGUAAUGGCUUACCAAGGCUAUGACGCGUAACUGGUCUGAGAGGAUGAUCAGUCACAUUGGAAGUGAGACACGGUCCAGACUCCUACGAGAAGCAGCAGUAAGGAAUAUUACGCAAUGGGGGAAACCCUGACGCGGCAACGCCGCGUGGAGGAUGACACUUUUCGGGGCGUAAACUCCUUUUAUCAGGAAAGCGGUACCUGAUGAAUAAGCACCGGCUAACUCCGUGCCAGCAGCCGCGGUAAUAC